rnacentral:rRNA from 1 species
ACCUACGGGAGGCAGCAGUUGGGAAUCUUGCACAAUGGGGGAAACCCUGAUGCAGCGACGCCGCGUGGAGGAUGAAGGAUCUAGGUCUGUAAACUCCUUUUUCAGGGAAAGACUUAGGACGGUACCCUGAGAAUAAGCACCGGCUAACUACGUGCCAGCAGCCGCGGUAAGACGUAGGGUGCAAGCGUUGUCCGGAUUUACUGGGCGUAAAGAGCGCGUAGGCGGUCUGUUAAGUGUGAAGUGAAAUCUCUAGGGCUCAACCCAGAAACUGCUUUACAUACUGGCAGACUUGAGUGAUGAAGAGGUUUGUGGAAUUCCUGGUGUAACGGUGAAAUGUGUUGAUAUCAGGAGGAACACCCAUGGCGAAGGCAGCAAACUGGUCAUCAACUGACGCUGAGGCGCGAAAGCGUGGGUAGCAAACAGGAUUAGAUACCCGAGUAC